UACGUAGGGUGCGAGCGUUAAUCGGAAUUACUGGGCGUAAAGCGUGCGCAGGCGGUUCGUUGUGUCGGCGGUGAAAGCCCCGGGCUUAACCUGGGAAUGGCCGUUGAAACUGGCAAACUGGAGUGUGGCAGAGGGGGGUGGAAUUCCGCGUGUAGCAGUGAAAUGCGUAGAGAUGCGGAGGAACACCGAUGGCGAAGGCAGCCCCCUGGGCUAACACUGACGCUCAGGCACGAAAGCGUGGGGAGCAAACAGG
rnacentral:rRNA from 1 species